AUGAAGCAAAAGAUUGUGGUGAAGGUCGAGCUCAAGGACAACAAACAGAAGUCGAAAGCGUUGACAGCAGUCGCCGUUCUCCCUGGCGUCGAGUCGAUUUCUUUGGAAAUUGAUGGGAAUAUCAUGGUCAUUGGGGACGGCGUUGACCCCGUCCACGCCGUGGGAAAGCUGCGAAGGUUGUUUGGGCAUGCUUUUCUCGUCUCCGUCGAGGAGAUCAUCAAGAAGAAAGACGACAGCGGCCAGGAGGAGGACGAAAGCGGUGCGACUCCUCCGUGCGAGUUUACAUUCGGGCUCUUGAACCGUAUCACAAAUAGUUUCUCAGGGGAGCGCAUAAUUGGUCGUGGUCGGCGUGGAGUAGUUUACAAGGGGGUACAGGACAAUGGGGAAUAUAUUGCUGUGAAGAAGCUUAAUCUCAUGCCAGGGCUUGACGACGAGGAAUUCAAAAAUGAGUUUAAUAAUCUUAUGAGGGUCCAACAUCAAAAUACCAUACGGUUAGUUGGUUACAGCCAUCAUACAACGCAAGUGCUUGCUGACCACAAUGGAAAAUAUGUUUCUGCUAGAGUGAAAGAAAGAUCUCUAUGUUCCGAAUACUUGGAGGGAGGAAGCCUUGACAAGCAUCUUUCUAAUGAACCAUGUGCUCUUGUCUGGCACACAUGUUACGAAAUAAUUAAGGGACUGUGUGAGGGCUUACAUUACCUUCACAAAGGAUUCGAAUAUCCUAUUUACCAUCUGGAACUGAAACCUACAAAAGUUUUGCUGGAUAAGGACAUGAUGCCCAAAAUUGGAGGUUUUGGUUUCUCUAGGCUCUUUGAUUCAAUAGAAGCCUCCAACACGCCAGAAGUUACAGCAACAAGAGUAUACAUGCCGCCAGAAUACAUCAGUAAACGGCUAAUCACACCAAAGUUUGAUGUAUUCAGUCUGGGCAUUAUAAUCUUGCAAAUCAUGGCAGGAAAGGAGAGCUACACCAAGUGUAUAGAUACUUCCCCCGAAGUAUUUAUUGAGAGUGUAUAUGAAUUCUGGGUAAACAGGAUGCAGGGCACAAUAUCAAAGCAUACUUCGCGUGAAGUUAGAACAUGCAUCGAAAUAGCUCUAAAAUGUGUGGAGUUCAGUCGAGAAAAGAGGCCUACUAUAAAGGAGAUCAUACAGAAACUGAAUAAGAUUGAUAUUGUUGAGUGCUCAUCUAUACAUCAGCUAUAUAGAGCAAAAGAGUUUUCAUUUGAGUUCUUAGAAAAUAUUACUGAUAAAUUUUCUAAGCAAAACAUAGUUGGCCGUGGUGGAUAUGGAAUUAUUUACAAGGGGGUGCUGAAGGAUGGAGAAGAGGUUGCUGUUAAGAAACUUCAUCAAAUGUUGUGGAUUGAUGAUGAACAAUUCAAAAACGAGCUUAAUAAUCUAAUGAGGGUCCAACACAAAAAUAUCGUACGGUUAGUUGGCUACUGCCACCAUGCAUCACAUAUAUUUGUUGAGUACGAGGGAAAACAUGUUUCUGCUAGCGUGGUAGAAAGAGCAAUUUGUUUGGAAUAUGUGCAGGGUGGAAACCUUGACAAUCAACUUUCUGCUGAAUCUUGCAGACUUGAUUGGGACAAAUGUUACAAAAUAAUAAAAGGAAUAUGUGAGGGUUUACAUUACCUUCAUAAUGCUGAUACUCCCAUUUACCAUCUGGACUUGAAGCCAGAAAAUAUUUUGUUAGAUAAGGAUAUGGUAGCAAAAAUUGGUGAUUUCGGUUUGUCAAGACUUUUUGAUUCACCACAAACCUAUAUGACACAAUCCCAAGAUAUUAAAGGAACACGUGGAUACAUGCCACCAGAAUACAUCAACCGACAGGCAAUCAGUCCCAAGUUUGACGUAUUUAGUCUCGGGGUCAUAAUCAUACAAAUAAUGGCAGGAAAGGAGGGCUACUUCAGUUGUCCAUACACCCCUCCGAAAGAAUUUAUUACAACUGUACGUGAAAACUGGCGAACAAAGGUGGAGGCAACAGUGUCGCCCCAUGCAUCUGAACAAGUGAGGACAUGCAUCGAAAUAGCGUUGAAAUGUGUGGAGGAUGACCGAACGCGAAGGCCUACAAUAGCCCACAUUGUUAAUGAACUAAGUAACAUUGGUGUUGCUAAAGGAUCACCCAUUCGCCAGUGGGCGGACAAGCUGACUGCGUUAAAGACCUUGUUAUUAUCCACUCACUUCAAACAUUGGCUGUUCCUCUUUGUCGCAGCGAUUUCCAUGUUUUUCGCAUGGGCUAAAUUCUGUCCAGAUUCAUGGUGGCAAGGCAUUACAAGGAGAACGUAA
rnacentral:rRNA from 1 species